GGGCCUGUAGCUCAGUGGUAGAGCAUCGGCUUUGCAAGCCGAGGGUCAGGGGUUCGAAUCCCCUCAGGUCCACCA
rnacentral:tRNA from 4 species